GUCCAGCUGACGAGUCCCAAGGACGGUGAAACGCGCGUCCUGGAU
rnacentral:hammerhead_ribozyme from 1 species